CAAGUCGAACGAGCGAGAGAGAGCUUGCUUUCUCGAGCGAGUGGCGAACGGGUGAGUAACGCGUGAGGAACCUGCCUCAAAGAGGGGGACAACAGUUGGAAACGACUGCUAAUACCGCAUAAGCCCACGGCUCGGCAUCGAGCAGGGGGAAAAGGAGCAAUCCGCUUUGAGAUGGCCUCGCGUCCGAUUAGCUAGUUGGUGAGGUAACGGCCCACCAAGGCGACGAUCGGUAGCCGGACUGAGAGGUUGAACGGCCACAUUGGGACUGAGACACGGCCCAGACUCCUACGGGAGGCAGCAGUGGGGAAUAUUGCACAAUGGGGGAAACCCUGAUGCAGCGACGCCGCGUGGAGGAAGAAGGUCUUCGGAUUGUAAACUCCUGUUGUUGGGGAAGAUAAUGACGGUACCCAACAAGGAAGUGACGGCUAACUACGUGCCAGCAGCCGUCGGUAAAACGUAGGUCACAAGCCUUGUCCGGAAUUAUCUGGGUGUAAAGGGAGCGCAGGCGGGAAGACAAGUUGGAAGUGAAAUCUAUGGGCUCAACCCAUAAACUGCUUUCAAAACUGUUUUUCUUGAGUAGUGCAGAGGUAGGCGGAAUUCCCGGUGUAGCGGUGGAAUGCGUAGAUAUCGGGAG
rnacentral:rRNA from 1 species